rnacentral:lncRNA from 1 species
AUCCCUCGACUCAGAAGUGGUUGUCCGAUAACCCUCAAGGCAUUAAACAAUGGAAAGUAAGCUGGGAUUAUCUCCGGGAGGAUUCGUUCUCCAUCGUCAAGGUUUUCAAAGCAAAAGCAAGGAUCAGAGUUAAAUGAAACUAUGUAUGAAUAAAAUCUCUUGCUUUAGGCGUAUCAAGAAAUAGAGGCCAUCUUAGCCGCAUUAUCCAUGAUGCAUGAAAAUAGGUUUCUCUUUAGAUCCAAUUAGGUACCGUACCAAAAUAUCAUUGGUAAAAUGAAAAUAGUAAGUAUUGUCCUGGUGAGGAACGAUGUGUGC